rnacentral:pre_miRNA from 10 species
CGCGUCUCCAGGCAAACCGUGCUAUUCGAUUGUUACUGUGGAACUGGAGGUAACAGUCUACAGCCAUGGUCGCCCCGCAGCAC